CCUACGGGUGGCUGCAGUGGGGAAUAUUGGACAAUGGGCGAAAGCCUGAUCCAGCCAUGCCGCGUGUGUGAAGAAGGCCUUCGGGUUGUAAAGCACUUUCAGUGGGGAAGAAAGCCUUGGGGCUAAUACCCUCGAGGAAGGACAUCACCCACAGAAGAAGCACCGGCUAACUCCGUGCCAGCAGCCGCGGUAAUACGGAGGGUGCGAGCGUUAAUCGGAAUUACUGGGCGUAAAGCGCGCGUAGGCGGUCUGAUAAGCCGGUUGUGAAAGCCCCGGGCCCAACCUGGGAACGGCAUCCGGAACUGUCAGGCUAGAGUGCAGGAGAGGAAGGUAGAAUUCCCGGUGUAGCGGUGAAAUGCGUAGAGAUCGGGAGGAAUACCAGUGGCGAAGGCGGCCUUCUGGACUGACACUGACGCUGAGGUGCGAAAGCGUGGGUAGCAAACAGGAUUAGAUACCCGUGUAGUC
rnacentral:rRNA from 1 species